UACGUAGGGGGCAAGCGUUAUCCGGAUUUACUGGGUGUAAAGGGAGCGUAGACGGCAGCGCAAGUCUGGAGUGAAAUCCCAUGGCUUAACCAUGGAACUGCUUUGGAAACUGUGCGGCUUGAGUGUCGGAGAGGCAAGUGGAAUUCCUAGUGUAGCGGUGAAAUGCGUAGAUAUUAGGAGGAACACCAGUGGCGAAGGCGGCUUGCUGGACGAUGACUGACGUUGAGGCUCGAAAGCGUGGGGAGCAAACAGG
rnacentral:rRNA from 1 species